UGGGGGGAUAUUGCACAAUGGGGGGAAACCCUGAUGCAGCGACGCCGCGUGAGUGAAGAAGUAUUUCGGUAUGUAAAGCUCUAUCAGCAGGAAAGAUAAUGACGGUACCUGUAAAGUAAGCCACGGCUAACUACGUGCCAGCAGCCGCGGUAAUACGUAGGUGGCAAGCGUUAUCCGGAUUUAUUGGGUGUAAAGGGUGAGUAGGCGGGCUGACAAGUCAGAUGUGAAAUGUUCGGGCUUAACCUGAGAACUGCAUUUGAAACUGCCAGUCUUGAGUGUCGGAGGGGUAAUCGGAAUUCCCGGUGUAGCGGUGAAAUGCGUAGAGAUCGGGAGGAACACCAGUGGCGAAGGCGGAUUACUGGACGACAACUGACGCUGAUACACGAAAGCGUGGGGAGCAAACAGGAUUAGAUACCCUGGUAGU
rnacentral:rRNA from 1 species